CUCGAUAAUCCACGUACACCCUACCUCUUUUAGAUCUAUCAGCUUGUGUACUGCCGUUGUAAGCACACCUCUAAAAGUAAGAAGUAUGCAAUUAUGACACCACUCAUUUACAUCAGGUCAAAGUGCAGCUAAUAAAGAGGUGACGAUGGGUUACACCCUAAACAAAGACACGGAAUGCGAUAUUAAAAAUCUCAUAAAGGUGGACUUGGCCGUAACAGUAACUCAAAGUUACAAUGAAAACGAAUCUAAGACAUGCACACAUCGCCCGUCACUCUCGCCCAAAGGCGAGAUAAGUCGUAACAAAGUAGGUGUAACGGAAGUUGCACCUGU
rnacentral:rRNA from 1 species